GAUGAACGCUGGCGGCGUGCCUAAAACAUGCAAGUCGUGCGGCAGCGGGCCUUCGGGUGCCGGCGAGCGGCGGACGGGUGAGUAACGCGUAGGAACGUACCCCAAAGUGAGGGAUAAGCUCCGGAAACGGAGUCUAAUACCGCAUAUGCUCUUAGGAGUAAAGGAGUAAUCCGCUUUGGGAGCGGCCUGCGUCCGAUUAGUUUGUUGGUGAGGUAAUGGCUUACCAAGACGAUGAUCGGUAGCUGGUUUGAGAGGAUGAUCAGCCACACUGGGACUGAGACACGGCCCAGACUCCUACGGGAGGCAGCAGUUAGGAAUUUUCCACAAUGGGGGCAACCCUGAUGGAGCAACGCCGCGUGCAGGAAGACGGCCUUCGGGUUGUAAACUGCUUUUAAAAGUGAAGAUUAUGACGGUAACUUUAGAAUAAGGAUCGGCUAACUCCGUGCCAGCAGCCGCCGCCG
rnacentral:rRNA from 1 species